rnacentral:misc_RNA from 1 species
GUGAAUCAUCGAAUCUUUGAACGCAAAUUGCACUCCCUGGUAUUCCGGGGAGUAUGCCUGUUUGAGGGUCGUUAGAACAAUAAUCGCUGCGUCGCUCUUUUUUUAAAGGGUGAUCGCGGCGGAAUUGAUCCGUCUUUCAAAUGUUAAUUCAUGUCGACGUGGCUUAAAAUUCAUCCAUCAGGUACGUUUAAAGCGUACGUAAGAUCAAUUUUGAUUAAGAACGCGCGAUGAACGUACCAUCUCAUGUAGUACG